rnacentral:rRNA from 1 species
AUUGAACGCUGGCGGCAGGCUUAACACAUGCAAGUCGAGCGAGCGGCGGACGGGUGAGUAAUGUCUGGGAAACUGCCUGAUGGAGGGGGAUAAAUACUGGAAACGGUAGCUAAUACCGCAUAACAUCAGAUGAGCCCAGAGGGGAGUUGAUAGGAGGUGGGGUAAGGGCUCACCUAGGCGACGAUCCCUAGCGGGUAUGAGGGGAUGACCAGCCACACUGGAACUGAGACACGGCCCAGACUCCUACGGGUGGCAGCAGUGGGGAAUAUUGCACAAUGGGCGCAAGCCUGAUGCAGCCAUGCCGCGUGUGUGAAGAAGGCCUUCGGGUUGUAAAGUACUUUCAGCGAGGAGGCGUUACUCGCAGAAGAAGCACCGGCUAACUCCGUGCCAGCAGCCGCGGUAAUAC